rnacentral:rRNA from 1 species
UACGGAGGGGGCUAGCGUUGUUCGGAAUUACUGGGCGUAAAGCGCACGUAGGCGGUUUUGUAAGUUAGAGGUGAAAGCCCGGGGCUCAACUUCGGAAUUGCCUUUAAGACUGCAUCACUUGAGCGUCGGAGAGGUGAGUGGAAUUCCGAGUGUAGAGGUGAAAUUCGUAGAUAUUCGGAAGAACACCAGUGGCGAAGGCGGCUCACUGGACGACUGUUGACGCUGAGGUGCGAAAGCGUGGGGAGCAAACAGG